UCCCUAAGCUCAGGCUCCCUUGGGAACUUUCUAGACAACAGGUACCUGUGAAGGAGAACAAUGCAAUAACAAACAGGUUGUCGGAGCCACCAAGAAAAGAUAGCACUGGAUUUAUCCUUAUUUCCCCUUUAGGGGUUCUUCACCUUUCAGACUUUGGUCUAUCCUUCUCCAACCCAGCUCCUAAAGUGACACCUCACAGAAUGCUAUUUCUGGAUGACCCUACAUCAAAAAUCGACUCUCGGAAGCUAUAGAUUGCCAUCUUCGAAGCUGCUUUCCAUACGCAGGUAGUCUUCGAAGAAGAUGGAAAAUGAGACAGAAGUAUAAAGGCAAGUAGACAUCAAGUUAUAGAGUUCAAAAUGGCUUCCCAUUUUUAAUCUGAGAAGAGACUGAAUACUGUCCUUCCAAAAGAUGACAGCAUCCUCACUGGCUGUGUUCUCAUAACAUGCUUAUACUCACAAUUAACUGAACAAUGAUUUAGGCAAUUAAUAUCAUUUUGAAUUCAUGAACAGCACCAUAAGCUAAUCACAUUGGUUUCAAUUUGCACAACAUACUAUGCUACAAAGUGGUGGGCUAACUUGUGCCUCAGUGUGUUGUGUCGACACAAUCACUGCUUUUGCCACUGUAUUAUAUUUAUACCCAACCUUGUCUUAGCUAUACUGGUUAUUCAGUGCUUAGUGUUUAAAUGGAGACUUGAACCAUGGACCAGUCUCUUAAUCACUGUUUCAUAUUGCCUCUCAAGUUCAGGAAGUCUAAUAGUCAAUGCAAAAUUCAAUUAAGGCUACAAGAUUAUAUCAUUCUACAUCAUGGUAUCAGGAUCAGUUCCACAUUGUAUCUAUGAGCAAGGUCAAUUGUUAAAAAAUUCAGAAGAUAAAUUCAAAAAUAGAAUGGGAUGUCAUUCAUUGGUUAAAGCUCAUUCAACAGAUUAAACCAUUUCAGUUGGUUUUAACUAGUCCUGGUCAGAAUCAUCUUCCAUAGCCAUGGCUUGUAACAAAGAGAGAUGGUCAUCCUCCUUUGUUCAAGAAGAAAGUCUAGUUCAGUUAGGAGGGGCUAUGAUAUUUCUGAUGGGAAGUACUGCUAUGCAGAGGUACUGGGCCAAGUCUUCCAUCUAGCUCAGCGUUCAGAGGCAGGAUGGCUAUUCAGACAGGUGUGCCAUUGCUUAAAGCUACAAAUGUAUAGGAAUUCACCUGUUGCAAUUUUUCUGUAUAACAUAUAAGAGCUUAUGCCUCCUCUCUUUUGUAGUUCCAGCUGACCCCAUUUCUAGGAACCAGAGAAACUGCAAAACUGACAAAACAGUUUUACUGAUCUAAAUGAGAUGUUAACAUACAUUACUAGUCUAUGUGGGAUAUGCCAUCCGCUAAAUAAAUAACUGCAAAACAGGCCUCUGGAUUCUUUGAUUAGGAGUCUGAAAUAUUUCAGAAGAAUCACAGCAUUUGUUCCCUGAAGUUUUAUUUUGCAUUCCUCCCCAACUUGUCUCAGAAAGAUAUUCACUUUCUGAAGUCAGGUCUACAGUUCACUUGAAACAGGCCCCGGGGAACGCAGUGGCAGUUGCAAGAUGCAUUUAGCCAGAAUUCACUCAAUUAAAACCUUUUUUUAAAAAAACUACCUGACAUAGUUUCCCCAAUAGGUUGUGCAAAUACAGCAGGUAGUUGAUUGAGCCUGGCCUUACUUACUUACUUACAUCGUUAAGUUAUCCCAAGUGCCUGUUUGUGCCUUGUGUGGUGGAGGCAACUAAAGAACACUCCAAAUUUCAUCCUUAGCUUUAGGCAUCAUUUUUUUUAGGGCGGGAAGGAAAUAAUUGUUGACAGAGAGGAAAGGGAACCUUCGCCAACCGUCACCCCGAUCUCACCAGUUCAUCUACCCAACUUUUCAGGCAAAAGUGACCACGCGGUCACCGAGCGGCUACGCUCCAGAGAACAAAGGUUUUCCCCCUGUGAUUCACGCAUGAUUUCGGGCUGGGCUUAGGUGGGGGUGACGACAAGAGGGCGGGAACACCCUGCGGGGUUUUUUUCCCCGUGCCCUUCAACCGAAACUCGCCCCCUCCCCCCCAUCUCUAGGGCGAAAGGGGAGGGGGGGCUUCCUGCAAAA